CUGAGGGGGUGGAGCAAAACCGAGCUGUGGGGCUUGUGCACAGAGGGGUGGCCCCAAGCAGAGGCCAGGGAGCCCUGGGGGGCAAGGCUCAGCCUCCCUGAAGGAAGCAGGUGGAGCAGAGGCCUAGGGAACCGGGAUGCAGGAGAGGCUGUGAGUGCCCUAGAAAUGACGCUAAAGGGCUCUCAGGCUGCCUGUCUCCUGCCUGGAACAAGCACUCCUAGAGUCUGCCUUUGCGCCUGACCGUCCCGCUGUGGAGAACACUUAAAGAAUCAGGACACAGGCUCCAAGAGAGCAGGGGCUAUUGUCUGUAUCGUUCAGUGUUUUCCCGAUUUCCUGACAAAGUGCCUGCACUAUGGCUGACAGAAGAUUCACCAUCUUUAAAACAUACCAUGGAUUGACAUUCUCGUAAAUCUCCCACCUCAAAGUGACACUAAUACUCUGACCCACCUUCAUUGUCCUGAGCAAGUCACAUGGCCACACUCCACUUGAAUGGAGCAAGAAGUACAACCCAGCCAUUUAUGUGUGCGGGUGUGGCAGGAGGCAGAAAUAUCUGUGGGUGGCACUAAUGUCUCCCAGAUGGGCCUUCUUCCAAAAGAGCAUGGGCACCUGACCGUGGCCCCCUUUUUUUGCUUGAAGACCUUAGGAGUCGCUGUUUCUGUCAUGAGGCCAGACCAGCUGGGGGGACCCAGCUAAUGCCCUCAGGUUCUGCUUGGGGUAUUCCACACGCACCUGCUCUGAAUGCAGCCCUGGCUCUUUGCCUCCCACUGCCGCCCUGACGACUCCCAAGGGCAGCCCCGCGGCAUGUGCCUGUGUCUGGGUCAUUUAUGUUGGUUGAAGUCUGCUCAGCAGACCCCAUACCCUUGCCAGUGGGCGGUCCUACCACUCACCUUCAACCCAGAGCCCAGCAGCACCUGUAGAGCCCAGAGGAAAGGAGGCCUGAGCCAAAGACCUCGUGUUGGCUUCCUCCAGGGCCCGGCCACUAAGAGCUCAUUCUGACCACAGCAUCCCAGAGUCGGCUCCCGAGGCUCAGAGAAAGCUGUGAGUGCCUGCUAACUAGUGAGGAGCUGGCCUGCAACCCAGGCAUGUACUCUGACUGGGAAUCGAACCAGCAACUCUUUGGUUCCCAGCCUGUGCUCAAUCCACUGAGCUAUACCAGCCAGGGUUCUUUUUUUAAUGCAUUCCAACCUGGGAUGAGCCCCAUUAUCUACUGGAAUAUUUGCAGCUGAAGUCUCAACAAGAGGGCCGAUUGGCACCACUCUAAAUGUACAAGCUCCAGUCCCAAAUCUCAAACCUACGGCAUGUUUAUGAUGUUCUUCCACCUGGCUCUCACUUUUUCAUCCUCCAGAAUUACUCGCUGAGAACCUGUCUUUCCCUCCCACCUGUCAGCCUCUUCUAUGCUGGCCUUCCCCCUCGCCCACUCUUGCAAGUGUUUUUCAAGGAAACUACGAAGUAAUUUUCAGACUCAGGAAACUCCUGCAUGAAAAUUUAUUUAACCUAUAGCUUGUGGUCUGCUGGCCUGUGGGCCACAGAAGGCCUUGCGUAUGUCAAGUUCAACCUGGUAAUGAAUGAAGUGAGAACAGGGCUGAUGAAUAAAGGAUGUGCAGUGUAAUCAAGGCUAAUGUGUCUUCUUGGCAGAGGCUUUUUUCUAAAUUGUUAGUGAUACAAAAACCCCUGUAGAAUCUGCUUCCUUAUAAGACUUCCUGUGGCCUUGAACUACUUAGCAUUUCAAAACCCAGCCAGACGGAAAUCUCCAUAGGUGACAUCAGAUUCCUGGACUUCUGUGUGGAGUUCAGGGAUGACAGUCAGCCUGUCAGCAGGCCUAAACGAAUUAAAAAUUAAAAAUGGAACAUUACUCCUUCCUGACAAAAAAUAUUCGUAGGGGUCUUGCUUUCUUACUGUACAAAUGUUCUAUGUGUCUCUUUCUCUCUUUUUCCCUCCAACUUCCUGGCAGACAAGGUGCACAAGCAGCCUGGGCACACAAGCGGUGGGGAUGCCUCGAUCUGGAAUGUCAGACAACGAAAAGAAUCCAAAUAGCUGUACCAAGACAUAAUUCGUGUGUGCAGCAAUGGAUUCACUUUGAUGGCUUUCAGAAUAUUUGCAGAGGUGUAAAUCCAUUCGUCACAGAUAUUAAUCUUAGAAUAUUCUCAUGAUCGCAAAGAGAAACCCUGUAUUUCUCCAUCUCUCUCAGCCCUGGGAAACCACGAAUCUACUUUCCGUCCCUAUAGAUUUAUCUCUUCUGUCUAUUUUAUGUACAUAGAGCUGUAUAGUGUGUGGUGCUUUGACUGAUUUCUCUCACUUAGCGUGAUAUUUUCAAGGCUCAUCCACGUUGUAGAGUGGGUCAGUAACCGUAAUUCCUUUCAUUAAUGGAUAUCACUUUCUUGUAUGAACAUAGGACAUUUUUAAAAAUUAGUUUACAAACCUAAGCAGGUGACUGAAGAGGAGAGGAAGCGUAAGGAAAGAAAAGGAAAGAAAAGGAAACUCCAGACAUUUUAAUGGUGACCUGAAGUCCUCCAGUUGAGGGCUGACCUGAAAGGAUUACUACACUCAGCGUGAAGAAGGGAAUGAUAGUAAAUUUUUAAAAAGCUCUUGGAUCAGUCUCAUUGAAAACAUCAGGGUGAGGUUACUUAAUAAAGAACCACAGAGCUUUCUGAAUGCCAUGUUUUAUACAUACGUUUAAUGUUGUUUAUUUGGAGAGGAAAGUGCACCAAAUACAUUUGUUUCAAUGCUGUUCAGAAAUGUUCUUAGGAUCUUGUGGUUGAGCAGAAUCUAACUCCACCAGCCCCCAGGAGAAUCGUCCCCUAGUGUGGGGGCUUUGAGACCGUGAACCUGAAGCUACGAACAGGGCAAAUCCACAGUCUCCAUGCGGAGGCAGC